rnacentral:piRNA from 1 species
UAACAAAAUGACUGCUUAUAGUUUAUCUGU